AACGUAGGAGGCGAGCGUUAUUCGGAUUUACUGGGCGUAAAGCGCGUGCAGGCGGCUCUGUAAGUCAGGCGUGAAAUCUCCCGGCUUAACCGGGAGGCUGCGUCUGAUACUACAGGGCUAGAGGUCGGGAGAGGGAGGUGGAAUUCCCGGUGUAGCGGUGGAAUGCGUAGAUAUCGGGAGGAACACCAGUGGCGAAGGCGGCCUCCUGGCCCGCACCUGACGCUCAGACGCGAAAGCGUGGGGAG
rnacentral:rRNA from 1 species